ACGGCCACAUUUAGGAGAAAACACCAGUUCCCGUCCGAUCACUGCAAUUAAGCGUCUGAGGGUUUAGUAAUUUGGUUGGAAACGACAUGGGAAUCCGGGAUGCUGUAGGCU